rnacentral:rRNA from 1 species
GAUGAACGCUAGCGGCAGGCCUAACACAUGCAAGUCGAGGGGUAACUAGAGUGAUAGCAAUAUUACUUUGGCUAGACCGGCGCACGGGUGCGUAACACGUAUGCAACCUACCUUAUACUGGGGAAUAACUUCGAGAAAUCGGCGCUAAUACCCCAUAACAUUGCGAAGAGGCAUCUCUUUGCAAUUAAAGCUCCGGCGGUAUAAGAUGGGCAUGCGUCCAAUUAGCUAGUUGGUGAGGUAACGGCUCACCAAGGCUACGAUUGGUAGGGGUUCUGAGAGGAUGAUCCCCCACACUGGUACUUAGACACGGACCAGACUCCUACGGGAGGCAGCAGUGAGGAAUAUUGCGCAAUGGACGAAAGUCUGACGCAGCCAUGCCGCGUGCAGGAUGACGGCCCUAUGGGUUGUAAACUGCUUUUGUACGGGAAUAAACCCUACUACGUGUAGGAGGCUGAAGGUACUGUAAGAAUAAGCACCGGCUAACUCCGUGCCAGCCGCCGCGGUAAUAC